rnacentral:rRNA from 1 species
UACAGAGGGGGCAAGCGUUGUUCGGAAUUACUGGGCGUAAAGGGCGCGUAGGCGGCCUGUUAAGUCGAACGUGAAAUCCCCGGGCUCAACCCGGGAACUGCGUCCGAUACUGGCAGGCUUGAAUUCGGGAGAGGGAUGCGGAAUUCCAGGUGUAGCGGUGAAAUGCGUAGAUAUCUGGAGGAACACCGGUGGCGAAGGCGGCAUCCUGGACCGAGAUUGACGCUGAGGCGCGAAGCCAGGGGAGCAAACGGG